rnacentral:rRNA from 1 species
AGCAGCCGCGGUAAUUCCAGCUCCAAUAGCGUAUAUUAAAGUUGUUGCAGUUAAAAAGCUCGUAGUUGAAUUUCGGGGUCAGUAGGCUGGUCGUGCCACAGGUAUGUACUGGUCUCACUGAUUCCUCCUUCCUGAUGAACCGUAAUGCCAUUAAUUUGGUGUUGCGGGGAAUCUGGACUGUUACUUUGAAAAAUUAGAGUGUUUAAAGCAGGCUAACGCUUGAAUACAUUAGCAUGGAAUAAUGAAAUAGGACGAUCGAUCCUAUUUUGUUGGUUUCUAGGAUUGACGUAAUGAUUAAUAGGGAUAGUUGGGGGCAUUAGUAUUCAAUUGUCAGAGGUGAAAUUCUUGGAUUUAUUGAAGACUAACUACUGCGAAAGCAUUUGCCAAGGAUGUUUUCAUUAAUCAAGAACGAAAGUUAGGGGAUCGAAGACGAUCAGAUACCGUCGUAGUCUUAACCAUAAACUAUGCCGAC